rnacentral:rRNA from 1 species
UACGGAGGAUGCAAGCGUUAUCCGGAUUUAUUGGGUUUAAAGGGUGCGUAGGCGGUUAAAUAAGUCAGUGGUGAAAGCCUGCAGCUUAACUGUAGAAUUGCCAUUGAUACUGUUUGUCUUGAGUACAGUUGAGGUGGGCGGAAUAUGGCAUGUAGCGGUGAAAUGCUUAGAUAUGCCAUAGAACACCGAUUGCGAAGGCAGCUCACUAAACUGUCACUGACGCUGAGGCACGAAAGCGUGGGUAGCAAACAGG